rnacentral:sRNA from 1 species
UCCUUCCCGAUGCUGUGCACUCAGUUGAAGAGGACGACCUUCCCCAAUAGAAGGAUGACUGCUCAGGUCAGGGGUAGGUGAGGAGCUGCAGAGUACAGGGAAGACCAGGGCCGCCCUGUUGAUGACACCAGAGGCAUCCCACUGAUGCUAGC